GGUUUCACCAUGUUGGCCAGGCUGGCCUCGAAUUCCUAGCCUCAAGUGAUCUACCCACCUCGGCCUCCCAAAGUGCCGGGAUUACAGGUGUGAGCCACCAUGCCCGACCAACAUACUUCUUUUAAAAUCUCCAUUUCUUUGUAAUAAGAACUCACUUUCUUUAGGUGGUUUAGCUGUUGAGUUUGGUGACUCUCUCUCGCUGUGGGUUUUCCUCAGCUGUUUGUAGUGUCUUCGUUAAGCGCUCAUCUUAGAGGGGGAGGUUUCCUGUUGACGCAUCUGUAAGUGAUGUAUCUAUUUACCCUCAGCAAUUGCAGGUGAGAGGCAAGAAUGCGUCGCCAGGUAGGCUGGGCCCGGGUGGUCUUCUGGAUGCAGGCCCUUAGCACCUAACGGUCACUUGCAGCCCUGUUCUCUCGCUUGUACCUGCUCCCACUGAACUGGAAGCAGCCACCAUUUCCAGAAUUUGGAGCUAUGGUUUCCUGAUUCUCACUAAUCCCAGCUGCUUCAUAACUUCUGGACCACUGAAAGUAUCCUGUUCUGGUUAUCUGUUGCUGAGUAAGGAAUCACUCUUAAAGUUUGUGCCAUCUCAUCCUCAUGUACUCAGCUGGUGUUCCACACAGAAACCCCCUGGGGCCAGCGUGCAUGAUGUAGGCUUGAGGUGGAGGCUGCCCUCCUGGCCUUGUCGGACACAGCCUGGAAGCGGGGCCCAGUCACAGCGACAGUCAUGGACUCCGAGGGUCCCCUGCCAGCUCUGUAGACCCUCUGCCUCCUAAGGCUCUCUGCGACUGCCGUGAUCUACAGUUGGGAGUGCUCCAGGGAGUUCUCAUGUGUGCUCCUCCACACGCAAGAGGCACUGCCUCUCGGGCGCCGAUGUAGAAUGGCUGGUGGGAAUGGCUCGGUCCACUCUGAAUGAUCUCUCUCUUCUUAAAACCUGAGCAUGGGUGCCCAUGGCCUGCCCUCGGCCUGUCCAGUAGGCAGGGUGGGCACAGCACAGCAGUGCCUGGCUGCCCUGUCUCCCUCCUCUCACUGAGUCCUCCUGCAGGUGCACACUAGUGAGCUGCCCCACCGUCCUUCAGACUGGAGGUGCCUGAGAGAAGGGGCAGGCACAGGGGGAUUGGAGGCCGUGCUAGUCAGGCUGGGUGAAGCAGCGGGGCUUGAGGAGGGCACCGCAGCCCUGUGAAGCUGAAUCAGGACCUGGGAGCCACCUAGGCCUGGACCCCACAAUGGAGACUGGGGAGUUAGGAGAUGGCUGUGGUCCCUGCUCAUCUCACUGGAUGCCCAAGUGAGAUGCUUAGGAGUUAAAUGGACAGAGCCUCCAGCUGGGGCCAAUGCUGAGAAGGCCUCUCCGGAGGGGGAAUUUGCUUUCUUUUGCAACAAGGGAAGCUUGAAUUCUGCCGUAAGGAUCUCCAUUCCUCACCAAGAAGUCUGGAGUCAUGCCACACACAGCUGGAUCAGCGCUGCCUUUUGGUCUGAUGUGACAGUGGUUAAACUUGUGUGACAAUGAGAAAUCAUGACAAACGACUUCCUUAAUGUCAAAGUUUCCUAACUUUUCAGGGAAGAGAAAAUAGGGCAACUGCAUCAUAUUGCGGACAGUGAACUCGGAUCUUUUAACUUCAUUCCUACACCAAAGUUGCUGAUUGAGGGAAAUGGACAGGAAUCGGCCUGACCCUUGGGUCUUGGGUAUAGACAGGACAGGGCUGUCUGCCGAGAAGUGAGGCAGGAGCCGAGCAGGGAUGUUUUGGAAUCGGCGAGGGUGUCUGAACACCAUCAGCUCUGCCUGCAUCUGCUCCUCAGGCUGUCUGCAAGUAGCACCGUGUCCUGGAGCAGCAUGUUAAAAAGCUGAGUUGGUUCAGGCUUUUGAAAAAUCAAAACAAGACAAACGUCCACCCCCGUGAUGAACAACAACUUUUUCCCAGGCUUGCAAGCGCUGCGGCCGGGUUGCCCUGGCAACGACACAUUUUGGAUCGGCCGCUUCCCUGGGCCUUCCUUUCCCAUGUGCACAAUGGGGAUGGGAGAAGGUCAAGGUCAUUUCCGGCUGCACAUUCUGGGAGGCAAACCCAUACCUCGGAGGCCUCUCUCCUGCCCUUUAGUCCCUGGCUGGCAUCUCAGCAGGGAGAAUAAAGGCGUCUGUGUUGUGGCUUCCUGGAGCCUCUUCCUUGGAAACAGAUAGUCUGAUAGGCAAUGAUGGCAGCUGCUGACUGCUUAUGGCCUGGCUGCUGCUGGCCAUGUGGGCCUCUGGAGCGGGGGGCCUUGUCAAGGCUCCCCAGACCCACUUCCACAGCCACAGGACCUGCCUGCAGUCUCUUUCCCUUUUCCUGGAAACUUCUGUCCCUUUGUCUACUCCCGAUGAGUCAGAGUAGCCGAUGGAGAGGAGUGCAGAGCCCAGGCCAGAAACAAGUGGCAAAGGCAAGGUGUGUCUCCUCUCUAAGGUCGCUAGGCCACAGCAGCAGUGGUUUUCGUUUGGGCCUGACAAGGAGCCGGUGCUGUAGUCACCCAUGACUCUGGAGGCCCUGUUCAUCCAUCAGGCCUGGAAACACCAGCAGGACUGGCCAAUCCGCCCCAGAGCUCAGCCAGCACGGACAGUCAGUCUUGGCCAGCAGCACCUUCCUCAGGCCUGAGAAGAAGAGGCCAGGUCUGCCUUGCACAAGCUGCAAACUUUGGUUCCCUGCACACCAGGCAGAGGGGGCUGCCCUGCCAGAGGCAGCUCCCACAUCCCCUGAGCCUGAGUCAUUACCUGCUAAAGAGGGGACAGCUCUUCAAAAGACCUGUGGCCUCCUGGGUCCCGGCAGCAUCCGUGAAAGUGAAAAGAGCAGAAUGUUGGUUGGCACAGUUUUCUGAAUCUCUCCCUGGGCCAUCUGUUCCAGUUACUGCUGUUUUCUAACAAAGCACCCCAAAACUUAGCGGCUUACCACAGCCAUCUUCCCAUACUCCUGGUUCUGCAGGUCUGGAAGUUGCACAGAGCACAGGAGGGCUGACUUGCUUCCAUCCUGUAAAGUCUGAGGCCUCCACUGCAAAGACUCCACAGCUGAGAGGGACCCAACAGCUGGAACCAUCUGAAGAUGUCAUCUCUCAUGUUUCCCCCACAUGAUGCUGGCUGUUGGUGCGACCUCAGCCCAGGCUGUUGGCCACAACAGCCUCUGCAUGUGGCUUGGGCUUCCUCAGAGCAUGGCGGCCUCAUCACAGUCAGACUUCUUGACUACAGGCUCAGGGCUCCAGAGGUCACCCUUCCUGCCAACAGUGUGAAGGACCCCAACCCUGACAGAGACCAGACCCUGGGAUCUGGAAUGUGUAUCCUGAGUGCAUUCUGCCACUGCCUCUUAGCCACCUUCCCUGAUGCUGUCUGGGAUGCAGGCAUUGCAUGCAGUUCACGUCGGAAGAUUCCACACUGCAAUCCAGAGACCAAAAGGAGCCCAUUGCGAUCUGGCUCUGGGGGACCCUGGGAUGAUAUCCCUACCCCCAGGGACAGGAACCAACCCCCGGGGACCUGGAGAGACUCUGUGCCCUGCAGGACCGAUGGGGGACUCCUCCCUGUAUGUACGUGUGCGUGGCCCUGCCUUGUUCUUGCCCCGGACCUGGCCUGGUGAAGGAGGCACGAGGAAGAUUGCAGUCAGGGACGCUCAGCCUGGGAGCUGACCCUCAGGUGAGGCCCUAAGGAAGUUCCCAGACCUCCCUGAACCUCAGUAUGCUCAUCUGUCCAGCAGCAACCCUGGGCCUUAAGUGAGAACAUCUAUGCGGAAGAGGCAGGUGCCAAUCAAGCCCUCUGUAAAGUUACCUCCCCUUUUCCCUUCUUCUCCUCUCACAGAGCUGAAGAAUAUUUUGCAAAGUUCAUUGUAAACAUUAAAAUAAUCUUGGGUGUUUAUCAUUCGUUAAACCUGUUGGGCUGACUUUAGGUCUACCGCUCUCAAAAAACCAAGAAUAAAUGGCACAGGGAGCUGA